rnacentral:tRNA from 1 species
UCCAGUGUGGCGUAGUGGUUUGAGUGUUGGCCUGCAACUCUGGAGGUCAGGGUUCAAUUCCCUGCUCAGCCA